AUAAGCAGGAGUAACAGGUAACCUGAAGUGUCACCUCCAAGAACGGGACCCAGCCCCACAAUGAGGAAGCAAUUUAACUCUGCCUUAGCCUUGAAAAUGUGACAAAACUGAGUUGGACAGCAGUCUUGAGACACAUGGGACAAAAGGCGAGAUUCGUUCUGUCCGGGGAAAAACAAGAUUUUCAGGACAAAUGAGAGAGUGACAGAUUCAUAAAGAGAGUGACAAAUUCAUCGAUGAAGACUGCGGAGAGGAGAGGUGAGGAAGCCACAGGCAGUCAGCAGAAAGCAGUGAGCUGCUCCCUCCACAGGCCCGGCAGCGGCAGCCCCGCGAUCUCCAGGGUGGACGUCGGUACUUCAUGGCAACCUGCACUGCCAGGUGCUCCUGCCCAACUGUCGGCUAACAUUUACCCAUUCCAAGCGCACUUAAGAAAAGAAAUCUAGGGUGUUGGCUACGUUUGCUCAUGUUGAGAAUGCAAAAGGCCACUGUUUCUUAAGCGGCUCUUGCACAACAAAGAAAAACUACCUGCUCCCUGGCCCAGCUGCCUGCUUUGCUGGAGAAGGCAGGCGGGGUGGAGACUCCUCCAGGAGGUGUUUAAUAAUCUGCAAAGGUCCAGACAGCAACCCGGGGCAGACACAGCUCAAGCCAGCCAACCUGACCAUUGGAAAGAAAGGAGGAGAAUGCACACUUUCCUGGGUUCAGCUCUCUGGGGUCCCCAACACCUCCUCUUUGUGGCCAUCUUGUCCCCUGGCACCAAAGCUGAGCUCAGAGGAAAGCACCUGCCAUGAUCCACUCUGUCUCUGCCGCCUCCCUGCCCACUCCUGUGGGAAGCUCCCUCUCGGCAUCUGUCCGUCAUCAGCAUCUGUCCGUCAUCGGCAUCUGUCUGUCACGGGUCAUCUGCCGCACCACACUGAGAACCCAUGAGUGCCAAAUGUCCCCCGUCAGCUGGCCCACCCGCAUUUCAUCUUCCUGGCUUAAGAAGGUUAAAAUCACCAGAAUAAUCAGGAACUAAACAGUGAAUCUUCUCUUUCUGACCUGCCCAACUCUUAGCCUUAUUUGUGACCCCCAGAAGUCUUAACUACUUAUAUUCAAGUCUGUGUUUUCCUGAAUUAACAGUCACUCAGCAUUGAAUGGCAAACUAUUUCUCACAAAAAUUGUAUCGGUGGAAAAAAAGUGAAACUUGUUCACUACACCCUUAAGUAUCAACUGAGAAAGAAUCUGCUAAAGCCACAAACGACCAUUCUGUACAACUUUCAAUGCAUCAUUUACUGUACUAAAUUUCAAAGAACAUUCUCGAAUGCUAAAAUAAAUCAAUGCCCAAACACAGUGUCUUGUCAGCUCAUGCAAUAUAGGUUAAAUAGUACCAUAUGGCAAAGACAGACACAUGUUGCCCUUUUCUGAAACAAAAAAAUUCCUAAACAAAUGUCCUUUACUUUCACAUGGGAAGAGUGGGGGAUUAGAGAGUUCUUCAAGUGUUAAUAGCGCUGAAAAAUUUUUAAUUCUUAGCCAUUAACAAGAAAUUAUAGUUUUAAUAGAGAACCUUGAUUUUUUAAGCCU
rnacentral:lncRNA from 1 species